rnacentral:rRNA from 1 species
GGCGAACGGGUGAGUAACACGUGGGUGACCUGCCCCCUACUCUGGGAUAAGCCUGGGAAACUGGGUCUAAUACCGGAUAUGACUACAUGUCGCAUGGUGUGUGGUGGAAAGUUUUUUCGGUGGGGGAUGGGCCCGCGGCCUAUCAGCUUGUUGGUGGGGUGAUGACCUACCAAGGCGACGACGGGUAGCCGGCCUGAGAGGGCGACCGGCACACUGGGACUGAGACACGGCCCAGACUCACAUACGGGAGGCAGCAGUGGGGAAUAUUGCGCAAUGGGCGGAAGCCUGACGCAGCGACGCCGCGUGGGGGAUGACGGCCUUCGGGUUGUAAACCUCUUUCGGCCCGACGAAGCGUGAGUGACGGUAGGGGUAGAAGAAGCACCGGGCAAUUACGUGCCAGCCGC